rnacentral:rRNA from 1 species
CAAUAGCGUAUAUUAAAGUUGUUGCGGUUAAAAAGCUCGUAGUUGGAUUUCUGCUGAGGACGACCGGUCCGCCCUUCGGGUGAGUAUCUGGUUUGGCCUUGGCAUCUUCUUGGUGAACGUAUCUGCACUUGACUGUGUGGUGCGGUACCCAGGACUUUUACUUUGAGGAAAUUAGAGUGUUUCAAGCAGGCAUACGCCUUGAAUACAUUAGCAUGGAAUAAUAAGAUAGGACCUCGGUUCUAUUUUGUUGGUUUCUAGAGCUGAGGUAAUGAUUAAUAGGGAUAGUUGGGGGCAUUCGUAUUUAACUGUCAGAGGUGAAAUUCCUGGAUUUGUUAAAGACGGACUACUGCGAAAGCAUUUGCCAAGGAUGUUUUCAUUGA